AGAGAGGCAACGCAGUAUGCUCAAGGCCACAAGACUUCUAGACACAAGGGGAGAGCUGCCCAAACACAGAGGUGGAGAGGAGCCUGUCCGGACCCAGGGACACAGGCAACGCCGGCAGUGACCACUUGGGCCCCAGAGAAACUCACAGGUGGCCACCCCUCCUGUUUGGAGCUGGAGGCAGAUCAUCUGGGAAGCCUUGGGGUGAGGACGUGGGUGCUGUAGGAUCUGCUGCUCUAAAUGAAGGCAGGCGGUGCUGCCCCGGCAGGAGGACAGCAGCUCCAGGCCUG